GUCCCAAUCUCAAACAGCUUCCUCCUUGCUACUUUUCCUCUUUAUGAGCUUCCUGUACUCUCUCUACCAUGUUUUCCUUUGUCAUGCCCAGCUCACCUUAACCUCACACAUUCACCUUGAUUGGCCGAUUCCCUACUUCCUACACUGUUCUUCAUGCUCUCACACAGAUUGAACCCAGUCACCAAUGUUUGUAGCUGAGUGUAAAUGAAGCCCAUCUGCUACCGAUCUGCUGCCUGUAUGAACUCCUUUCGCAGUUGAAGAAGACACACACUCACCAAGAACCAAAUAGGGCAUCAAAAUCAGUCUCCUGGAAAGCUAAAGCACAUGCAGUCUUACCAAUCUUUGUUUUAAUUGCACAAGUAACUUCAAGGAGAUACGCAGAGCAAGAAAGUUUAGGCAUGCUAACAUCGAUCCCACAUUAUAUUGUAAAUAUGAUAUUAUGUUUACAAACAUUAUUGCUAUUGCUCAGUAUGUUUGGGCUCAAUCAUAGGGUUUGAAUUUUGAUGAAGAUGGUGUAGG